rnacentral:rRNA from 1 species
UAUGAACGCUGGCGGAGUGCCUUAAGCAUGCAAGUGGAACGAUGAUGGAUGAGCUUGCUCAUCCUGAUUAGUGGCGCACGGGUGAGUAUACCAUAGAUAAUGUACCCCUUAGUUCGGGAUAGCGACUGGAAACGGUGAUUAAUACCGGAUACUCCUUCUUGCCAUAAGGUAAGUCGGGAAAGUUCUUUCGCGAAGGGAUCAGUCUAUGUCCUAUCAGGUAGUUGGUGAGGUAACGGAUCACCAAGCCUAUGACGGGUAUCUGGUUUGAGAGGAUGAUCCGACACACUGGAACUGAGACACGGUCCAGACUCCUACGGGAGGCAGCAGUGAGGAAUAUUGCACAAUGGAGGAAACUCUGAUGCAGCAACGCCGCGUGGAGGAUGACGCAUUUCGGUGUGUAAACUCCUUUUAAGAGGGAAGAUUAUGACGGUACCUCUUGAAUAAGCACCGGCUAACUCCGUGCCAGCCGCCGCGGUAA